AUUUCACGGCUUGAUCUCAAAAAUUAGAGGUAUAUAAAUCUAAGUUGGAUCACACCACAGGAAAAUAAUAGUGAUUGGAUAUCUACCAUUAAAAUCCUCCUAAGGCCCACUGUACCGUUUAUUUGACAUCGAAUCAGAUGAUUAGGUCAUACAGACCCAAACGAAGUGAAAAAACAAAGAUCAGCUUGAUCCAAAACUUUUAUGGCCCCAAAAAAGUUUUCAAUGGUCGACGUUCAUUCAACACUUUUCCUGUAAUGCGGUUCACUUGAGAAUUAUAUCCCUCUCAUUUUUGGUAUCUAACCCUAAAAUGAUCUGUAAAAAUGGAUGAACGGAAUGGAUGUAACACACACAUCAUGGUGGGGCCCAUAGAGCACCAACCACCAGCCAUUGGCCGGUGGCAGGGGGAGUAGCCAAUCUGUUUCCAUUUUGGACCACAGCGUAUAAUAGGCUGGAAAAAAUGGAUGGACAGCAAGGGCAUACAACACAAAAUCAAGGUGGGCCCCACAUUAAGGGUAACACCCACUAACGUGAUUAAAUAUGAUAAAUACAAGCCAUCCAUCAAGUGUCCCACCAUGUAGAUGCCCUUGGUUAAAAAUUGAGCUAGCUUGAGAAGUCGACUGGCUUAAUAUUUUAGCAUUGUCCUGUAUAAGGUGGAACCCAUUCAUUGAAAGGCUUGGAUCUCACACGUAUGCCACAUUUGCAUGUUGGGUAGUGUUUAGAUGGGCUCUUCCUCACCAAAGCAUCAGUGAUUAGAACUUUAAAUUAAAACAAAACAAAAACACAAACAAAAAACACGCAUACAGGCUCAGCAAACCACUUACAUUGUUAUUUUUUUUUAAGUAUGCAAGUUACAGUGCUCCUAGUUGCAAUGGAAUACUUAAGAACCCAACGAUCAAUCUAAACUGUCCAUUUGUUCCAACACAGAUUUCGUAUAAUACCACGUACACGUCACACCACUCUGACUAUCAUAAUAAUCCAACCGUUAGUCUCUAAUAAUAUGGAUGGCCAUGAUCAUUAACACAAAAUAAGUCCAACAAACAAAUUGAUCAAUCUACUUGUCAGUGACCAUCAUAUAUUGCUUAUGAUUCUAAAGAGACUUUUAUUGGGAAAUUCUACCCAUCCCUACAAGACAUAGAAAAAGAAUGGCUACAAAAUGGAGCAUUGGAUCUCAUCCGAUGAAUGUAAUUUUUGCAUAGUAUCACUUUGUGUUCCGGACUUCAUAUCGAAAGUUCAGCUCGAUUGACAGGACUGUCUAAGCAACCAGAUGCAACUAAGAGCAUUAUAACUUUCGGUACUCCCAAAGCAUAUUGGAGCAUUUUCUACUAGGCAUAUUACGAUUAUCGAAAGAUUAAAAUUAAAAAUUAAA